CCUACGGGAGGCAGCAGUGAGGACUAUUGGUCAAUGGACGAGAGUCUGAACCAGCCAAGUAGCGUGAAGGAUGACUGCCCUAUGGGUUGUAAACUUCUUUUAUAAAGGAAUAAAACGAGGCACGUGUGCCUUUUUGCAUGUACUUUAUGAAUAAGGAUCGGCUAACUCCGUGCCAGCAGCCGCGGUAAUACGGAGGAUCCGAGCGUUAUCCGGAUUUAUUGGGUUUAAAGGGAGCGUAGAUGGGAUGGUAAGUCAGUUGUGAAAGUUUGCGGCUCAACCGUAAAAUUGCAGUUGAUACUGGCUGUCUUGAGUACAGGUGAGGUAGGCGGAAUUCGUGGUGUAGCGGUGAAAUGCUUAGAUAUCACGAAGAACCCCGAUUGCGAAGGCAGCUUACUAAACUGUGACUGACAUUGAUGCUCGAAAGUGUGGGUAUCAAACAGGAUUAGAUACCCUGGUAGUC
rnacentral:rRNA from 1 species